CCGAUAAGACGUCAACAAUACCGGACUUUUAAUAAAGUCUUUAGGGUCAACGUGUCUGCAUUUCAUGUCAUUUUGGACACCGGACUUCUACAUGAUAUCUAUGAUUAUACGCUUAUGAUCUUUCAACCUCUCGGCUUGAUUUUCAGUGGUUUUACCUAUUCCAACGGGGUUAGAAGAAGAGCACGCCAAGGACUCCCCUUUUAAUGGCGGCAGGGGCCGACGGAGCUCCCGAGCGGCCCGGUCUCUCUCCUACGACCGCGGUGGUUUGGAGCAUGCGCCCCUGUGGCGGCAAUGAGCCUGAACUCACGCCCCGGUGGAGGUGGCGCACUACGCCGACGCCUCUCGGCCCGGCUCCCGGCGAGCCUCCUCGCCGCACAGCACCGACACCACAGGCGGCGCGGGCCUCCUGACUACGAAGACGCACGCAGCAGCUGCGCCAACAACGACGACGUCACUACCGCUCUGCUGCUCGCCGUCACCGGCGAUCAAGGUCAAGUUCUUUAAUCUUUUUCUGUACUACUACUACCUACGGAAGUGUGGUUCUCCAGGGAUUCUUAUAGAGAGGUAGCAGCCUCCUCGUUUAAGGUGAGAGCUCGAUAGAUCAGGGAAUAGUUUGAAAGGCUACUUGGACAUUCAACAGUAAUACUAGUGGUUCAAUGACUACUACAAACUCGUUGGGGGUUCGAGUAACAUACCAUUCUUCACUGAUGCUAUGAGAGUACCAGAUUCCUUGAUUUUGUGUGCAAUUGUGAGGCACAAUAUCGUUAACUG
rnacentral:rRNA from 1 species